CCUUCUGCUCUCUAUUGAUAUAAGUUAGAAUAGAUUCAUGUGAGGAUUUGUAAAAUCUGUAACUAAAUCGAAUUAUUUGACUAUCUAGCUAGGACUGUUGAUUUUAUUCAUGUUUAUAUUUUUUAUUAAAUUGAAUAUGUUUCGCACUGUUAUGUCUUGUCAUUUCAUGUUAUUAUUGGUUCUACUAGUUUUUACAAUAUUUCUUACUAUUAUGUUUUUAUCGCUUAUGUCUGAGACUGAAUUUUCUAAAGUAUUAUAUGACGGUCCCUAAUUGUAAGUCCAUAGAUUAUAAAGGUAACGACACGUUUAGAAAAUGAAUAACUCUUUAAACUUUAGUAGCAAAGUUCAAAUACUAUUUCCCUUACUUAAUCUUAUGGAACUCACCCCAAUCUAUUUCUCCUAGGCAAUGUGGAAAGUGAAAAAUCGCUCCCCGAGCUACCUCUUGAAGCUUGUUUGGAUUUGUUCACGAACCUAUAAUGGAUGUUUGAUUGCAUGU
rnacentral:lncRNA from 1 species